rnacentral:tRNA from 1 species
ACUAAAAUAGUUUAAAUUAAAACAUUAAUUUUGUAAAUUAAAAAUAUUUAAAUU